rnacentral:rRNA from 1 species
GAUGAACGCUGGCGGCGUGCUUAACACAUGCAAGUCGAACGGAAAGACCCUGCUCUUGCUGCGUUCUCGUUUGCCGAACGCGUGAGUAUCACGCGUGUAACCCGCACCUGUCUUUCUGGUAACUUCAGGAAACUGGGGCUAAUAUCGCGUAGGAGCUCUUGCUGCAUGGUGGGGGUUGGAAAGUUUCGGCGGUUUGGGCUGGACUAGCGGCUUAUCAGCUUGUUUGUGGGGUAGUGGCUUACCAAGGCUUUGACGGGUAGCCGGCCUGAGAGGGUGACCGGCCACAUGGGGACUGAGGGACGGAGCAGACUGCAACGGGAGGCAGCAGGGGGGAAUAUUGCACAAUGGGGGGAAGCCAGAGGUAGCAACGCCGCGUGCGGGAUGACGGGCUACGAGGUAAAAACAGCUGUGGAAGGUAACGAAGCGUGAUUGACGGUAAUGGGUAAGGAAGCACCGGCUAACUACGUG